ACCUGAGCUGAAAUCAAGAGUUGGACGCUUCGCUGACAGGCCAUGAUGCUCUAGUCCAGAAUCGUCUUGGGCUUUUUGUUUUGCUUCAUUUUGUUUGGUGCAAGAAACAAGGAGCAGAAGGUAUCAUGUUAACAGAUGGAAAAGAAGCCAGAAUGACUCAGUUUGAACUUUAUUUUUCACUUCCUUUAUAUGAAAAUGGUGUUCAGACAGAAAGGACAGAGUAAACUUAUAGGGACUAAAAUCCCAAAUAGUCAGAAAAUAAAUGAGAAUACCUGCUUUCCACAAGACAGUAUGAGCUGUGUGACUCAGAUGAUCUAAAGGAUCUUGGAAAUGAGAUUGCGAGCGUCUUGGAGGAAACCUUAGUGCGGUCGUGAGAAUGAGGGAGACACCAGGAGAAAAGGAUGGAGAGACGCCCUCACUUUCAAAACGGGGCUCAGGGGCCCUUUGGAAGCAAGUGAACUGGCUAUCUAUAGGUUAGAUU